AGAAAGAAAUUUCGAAAUCAGGGGUUUGAUUUGAAAUAGAAGAAUAGUAGUGAAACUUCCAACACGACCAUGUGUCGAUUUACGCAGCUUGUGUACUACUCGAGGAGAAGUGUGAGAAGUACACGAGCUGCGUAAAUCGACACAGAGCCG
ensembl:ncRNA C17E4.14 ncRNA